rnacentral:lncRNA from 1 species
ACGCCAGAUGAACGAAAGCGCGGAAGAUUACGUCAACUAUGAAGGCCAAUCUGCUUACGAUGUGGCAGACAUGUUAAAGCAAUAUUUCCGAGAUCUCCCCGAGCCCCUCAUGACGAACAAACUCUCCGAAACGUUCCUGCAGAUCUACCAGUGUAAGCAUCCCCGGGUUUUCUUAACGACGGUCGGUGUCAGGUUCCAUGGGACCAACUGAAACACGUGUCAGCCUUUUGCGGGGAAAACCUUCUCAAAACCUGAGUUUGAAGUUGGUGUGUGUGAUAGGUUGAUGUAUCCUUACCGAAACGUGAUUUUUGUGACCUGGGAGUGUGUUGGCAGAGUAAUUGUGCAGCACACGUAAAGUACCGAGUUUUCUGUCCGGCGCCACAUAAACCAUGUGUGGUGGUGCACACUUGUAACCCAGCGCUUUGGAGUUCUUAGAGUUGGGAGGAUCAGAGGGUCAAGACCAUCCUUGUCCU